rnacentral:lncRNA from 1 species
UACCGGCUCCUUUCCCUUCGAGGAAGAAGUACCUGAAACAAAACUGAAAACCGUAAGCACAAAGAUUAGUGAGUUCCCCCAUCAUACCACAUACCAUACAUAACACAUACUGUCUAUCAUAGUCGAGUACUAGCUACCCCUUCGGUCUCUUUCAACCAGUAACUUGCCUAGCAUAUCAGGGCUGGCCUACCUGUUCGGUCUUUUCGACCGGUAACUUGCCUAAAAUAUCAGGUUGCUAGCCUACCCCUUCGGCCCUGUCGACCGGUACCUCGCCUAGCAUAUCAGGGUGCUGGCCUACUCCGUCGGUUCUUUCGACCGGUACCGGGGACUAUUUCACCCCCUACUACUACCACAUAGCAUCCUAGUGCAUAACAUAUAACUAAUAUACCGCCUAGCUUAUCCGGGUGCUGCCAUACCCCUUCGGCCCUAUCGAUCGGUACUGGAGUCUAUUCUACCCUCCUACCUCUACCACAUAACAUCAUAGCAUACUAGCACAUAAGCAUAACAGAUAGCGACAAACCAUGUAAUUAGCACAAAGACAAUCAUCUCUACUAUAGCUCUUACUAGUGGGCCAACAUUAGUGUCUUCGAUUCACUUCUACUGGAAGGUAACUCACCUCAAUGUCGUAGAGUAGCUGAACUGUCCUCGGUGCUGGGAUCAACUAUUCUCAAACUUCUAAACAUAACAAUCUCCUUCAAUUAUCCUUUCAUACUCAAAACCCCUUUAGGUUCAAUUCUGGUCAAAGUCUAAGUCAAGGUCAACACCCUAGUUAAAUUCAACCUUUGGUCAAAGUCAACAUUAGGUCAAAGUCAACAUUAGGUCAAAGUCAACAUAUGGUUGAGUCAACUCUCCGAGUUGGUCCAACAACUCGCCGAGUUCCAUAACUCAGAGAAUCUCGAAUUCGCGAUACAACUCGUCGAGUUACCCUCUAACUCGUCGAGUUCUCCCUUAUGACAGAAUCAGGACUUUUCGUUUGAACUCGUGGAGUCCCUCCUUGGACCCAUCAAGUUCUCCUUCUCCCAUAGUUGGGACAUUUUGCCCUAACUUGCCGAGUUCCUCCUUGAACUCGUCGAUUUCUCUUUUAAUCUGCAAGCCCAAGGAUGUCCAACUCGCUGAGUCAUCUCUCAGACUUAACGAGUUUACUCUGUAAUAGAAAAGGUUGGGCAACCAUGGCCCAACUCACCGAGUCAUGUGAAAAACUCGUUGAGUCCCCCAUAAUCUAGUUCCAUACAAUCGAUUUUAGUCGGGCUUAAUGCAUCCAAAAUACAGAUCAGGUUUCUUAGGUUGAUAUAUCAUGUAAAGUUUCAGACUUUAUGUUCAUGUAUGGGUUAUUUAACUCAAAAGGACUUCAAAAGUGGUUCAUAUGAUGCAUGGGACUCCCACGGCCAUAAAGUUGGAACCUUUAUGCCAUGGACUCCCUCAAAGACUCUGGAGCUGAAGUUAUUACCCCAAAACAUGCUUGCAUCCAUGUAUGGUUCCAUUAUAUGCUCCAUAUGGCCCUGAACUACCCCAUGAAGAGAUCUUGUAAACAAAUAGACAAGGUACAUACUUUAUACCUCAAAUGAACUAGAAAUGAAGCACAAGCUCUGGAUCUAUUUGCUUCCUCUAGAAUCCCCAAACUUCCUCUUCCUCCUCAAGCUUCAAAAUCACCAAAAACACACAACAAUGGCUCAAUAACACUCAACACGGGUUAGGGUUUCAUGACUAAGGUUUGAGGUGAUGGAGGUUGUAUUUGAGGCCGAAUAAAGUGUUUAAAUAGGGUGCAAACCCUGAAAAGUAGGGUUUCAAUCUGGCAGCCCUACUCGUCGAGUUGAGGCUCUCAACUCGUCAAGUAGACUUCAAGUCCUGCGUCCAAUAAUUUCAUUCCUACUCGACGAGUUUGGGGCCUCCAACUCAUUGAGUCCCUUCAAAAAAAUGAGAAUUAAUAAUUAAAAAUACAUACCAGGAGUCGGGCGUUACAUUUGAGCCCUAUUUAAGCUCCUUAACUUCCCCAACCCCAUUCCAUUCUCAUCCUCCACCCCUUCAACAUCCUCCAUUGAAACCUUAACCCUAGUUUUAGCCUUGUGAGUAAAAAGAAGUUGUUUUUAAGUGCUUUGGAGUGUUCUUGGUGUAUCUGGGAGAAGAAUGAGCUCAUUAGAGAAGUGUUGGUUACGUUGGAGCUUGUAGAUCUAGACCUUGUUCACUUUGAUAUUUCUUCAAGAGGUAUAAAGUUUGAAUUUUGAUGAUGAAAUUGUUAGAUCUAACUAGUUUUGGGUGUUAGGAGCUUUUGGUCACUUUAAGUGCCUAAAGUUUAGAUAUUGAAAGUUUGUGACCUUGUUAUGGAUAAAGUUGGAAACUUUAUUCAUCUAAAUAUCAUACUAAUUCAAAUAUGAAGAUUGAAGACUUGGACUUAUUGGAUUAAGUUGAAAAAGAUGCACUUUUGGUCCCUUUAAGACUUGAAGACUAGAUCUUGUUUGUUGAGACCAUUCUAAUGGAUAAAGUUGGAAACUUCAUUCAUUAUGAAGCUAUUAGGAACCAUAAAAAUGUGAUAUUGGUCCUUCUAUCCCUUCCACGCAAGCGUUAUGAUGUCUUAAUGGAUUAAUAAGUUAGGGUUUUGGUUUUUGGACCUUUUCUAGCCAUAGAAAGUCAUAAAGGUGGAAACUAUAUGACUUAAGUUGAUGUUUUGAGUCUAGAUCUGAGAUCUAGACAAAAGGUCUUAUGUGAUAAAGUGCUUAAUGGAGAAAUAAGAUCAGACCGAGUACACUAAGUGUACAAGGAGUAUGUUGGGCAUACGUAGCUGCCUUGGACAUUGACUUUUAUUGACUUAUGUUGACUUUUGACUUUUUGACCAAGUUUGACCUUGAGUCAAAUUGAGGAUUUUGGGAUUUUGAUUAAGACUUUAUCUGGUUCUGGUGUUAGUGGAUUCAUGGGAGCAAGCAGUGCAGAAGGGAGCAUAUCGCAGUGUUUCAAGGUUCUUCGAUUCAUGUGAUUUUCGCCUCAUUGUACCGUGGGUGGAAGGCACUAAUGUCAGGCCACUAGUUUUGGUUAUAUUUAGUAGAAGGAUGCCAUAAGGACUGUAUAUAGUCGUGUAGGAUAGAUUAGGGACCUUUGAUCUAGGCUCUUUUGUCUGUUCCUUAUGUGGUUGUGGCUCUAAAGUAGGAUCACUUAUCCAUGUGUCUAACUCAUCUCUGAGUAUAUACGGUUAUGCAUUCCUUGGAUUGUUGGUAUUUAGUAUGUUGUUAUGUUGUAGUGAUCUGUUAGAUAAGUAUCCUUGUAUAUAGUAUGUUGCUAUGUAGUAGUGAUCUGUUAGAUAUGUAUGCUGGUAUAUAUGAUGUUGUUAUGCGGUAGUGAUCUAUAUAUAUAUAUAUAUAUAUAUAUAUAUAUAUAUAUAUGUUUACAUGUACUUGUUGGUUAUCAUCUAGUGGAGUCCCCUAGGGACUGUAUGUGGUAAUGUAGGAUAACCUGAGAACUCUUGAUCUAGGCUUUCUUGCAUGUUCCUUGUUUGGUUGUAGCUCUAGAGUAGGAUCAUCUGUUCGUGUGUCUAUCUCACCUCUAGUUAAUUAUAGUUAGGCAUUUCAUGGAGGUUAGCUGGUAGAGGGAUUGGGUUCUAUUAGAGGACUAGUAGGCGGUAAUGAGUUGUAUGAUUGUUGUCUACCUGUAUUAUGUGCCUACUUGGUCCUGAUUGUUUAUAUGUUGACAUAUGUUAGCAGUGGGUUGAGGCGGUCCUUCUUUGUGGUGUAAGCCAAGAUACUUGGUGUGGGCUGGCUAUAAGCCGUAGGCACGAAGGCUCGGGAAGAGCGGUUGGGUUGAGGCGAUAGGCCAACAAACCCUGGGUAUUGCAGCCCGAAGGCUGAGUAGACCCGAUGCAUGCCUGUAUGUUUAUCGUAUGGGGUAUUUUGGGGGAAACUCACUAAUCUUUGUGCUUACUUUGUUGUUUAUUUUUUAAGUACCAUCGGUCGUCAUGGGAAGGUGAAGGCGUGACUGUACACAUUCAUCAGCAACAAUGAAGAUUAUGCGCUUUAAUAUUACUUUGAUUUUAAUAAAUAUAUUUGGAUUAAACGAUUUUAUUUAAAAUGGAUUUGUAAAUGGGAAGCUCUACUUAAAUCAAAUGAAAAUUUUUGGUUGUGAAAAUGGGACGUUACAAGUUGGUAUCAGAGCCCUGGUUUGAGCGAAUUAGAGGAACACUUCUGUGAAUACAGUCUCAAACUAGGAUUCGAGACUUUUUGUAAAAUGUUUUUUUCAGAAAGAAUUUAUAAUAAAAGGGUUGGGUUAGGGAUAUGAGCUCGGUCUCUUGUCAUGUUCUUGUUUGAUUGUUGGCUUGGGAUCGGGAACAUGGGCCUUGACCUAACUUUGGCUUUUUCAGGAAGAUGCGGUGUGUACAGUCAACCAGAGCCCGAACAAGAGAGUGGUUCCCAAAAUACCCAUACUUGUUAUGUUUACUAUGUUUUGAUUUUGCUGAUAUAUGAAUUGUUAGAAAAGCAUGCUAGUGGAUAAGCUAAGAUUCAUUUAGGAACUGUUGGAUAGAAAUGCCUGAUUUGUAUGAAGCCUAAUGAUACUGGUAGUUGCUUGCCUGAUAUAUAUUACUUGAUUUGUUUUUGAUGUGUGUAUGUUGAUUAGUUGUAUAUGGUCAGGAUUGACUAGCCAUAGAACGAUUGACUUAGCCAUACUUCUUAUUCCUUGGUUGGUUGUGGACUUAGGGCAGAGUCGAUUAUUCGACAGUCUAUCUGAUCUCGUAUUGUUUACAACAAGCAUGAACAAAAGAAACCGGUGGUACAGGAGCAAGGAUAAUCCUAGGAAGAGUGCCUAGGAAGUUAGUUGUAGCUUGUAGAAGAAGUGGAUGUUAGCACGCAUAGGAGUGGUCUAGUGUAGUGACUUAGGACCUUCAGAUGAAUUUUGAAUCGACUAUGGAUAGGUGUGGAAGGUAUUAUGGGCCCAUACUACUGAAAGCACAUGAUCUGCAUGAUAUUUAGGAGGAUCCUCGAGGUUACUAAGGAACUAAUAGGAGUGUGGCAUGGUGCAUUGAGCACUAUGUUUUGAUGUCUGAUAUUUCCUUCUUAUAUUCCUAGUAUGGCGGCUUUUGGAGGUUCGUGAUUAGGUGUUGUUGGCACUAGGAGAGGAGGUAUGAGUAAAUAUGAGAUCUAUAGGAUCAUUGUUGCCAAGGUGGUAGAUGCGAUCAGGGAGGCGAUUCCAAAGCUAUUUGGGUUGGUUAAGACAGCGUUGAUCGAGGAGUUUGACCGACGCUAUGUCAUCGUUCUGCAGGUAGCUACUGCCGCAGCCAUAGUAACCAUCAUCAUUAUAGAACCUCAGGGAACCGGGGCAAUGCAGUACCGAGAUUUCAGUUAUACGAAGCCUCCAGAGUUCAGAGGCAUCAGGGACCUAAUAAUCACUUCGAGAUGGAUUUCUAACGUGGAUGUUUAUUUCUUCACGUGUUCAUGUCCCGAGGCCCAAAAGGUGAAGUUUGUGCUAAAUCUUCUUUGUUGGGGUGCGAAGGAUUAGUGGGAGUUUGUGAACCAGGGCUUUUCACAGGCUGAGCGAGCCAUAGUAAUUUGGGAGAAGUUUCUAGACAUGUUUCUGGGUGGAGUAUAUUCCUCUUAUGGAGCGAGAGCAAUUGGUUCAUGAGUAUUUGGAUCUGAGAUAGACGACUAAGUCAGUGGCAAAGUGACCAAGAUGUUCACUGAGAGAGCUUUGUUUUAUCCUGAGCUCGCUACUUCGGAUCAGACCCAGAUGACUCGGUAUUUGAGUAUGCUCAAGAUGGAUAUUUGGCAGUUUGUGUCUACCCAACAAUACAGUACCCUCGCUCAACUUCAGGAUGUCGUGAGGAGGCGAGAUAUUGAGAUAAAUACCCAGAUGAAGGAGCAACAUCAGGCUCCAGUUCAGUCCCAUCCUACAGAAAAACGGUUCAAGUCCGCCGUCCAGAGUUCGAGAUCAGCCGAGAGGAGGUAUCGAUAUUUUGUAUGUCACAGAAGUGGCGACGAGGUUCAUUUUGGUAGGGAUUACAAGCGGAGUUCGCGUGUUUGUUUCUAUUAAUUGAUUAUUGUAGUGAUGUGUUGGAUCAUUUUGGUAGGGAUUGCAGGCGGAGUUCGUGUGUUUGUUUCUAUUGCGGCCAGGGGGGCACAUCAGAGCUCGUUGUCCUUUUCUUGUUUUUGAUGAGGUGUUGGAUCCUACACCCCUAGCUUGGCAGUUACCCGACGAUCGUCAUGGGACACCGGGAGUUUCGGGGGCCGAUGUUUGAGUUAUCAGUUCUUCUAUUUAGUCGAUUAUUGUAGUGAUGGUAUUCAUUUGUGUGUUCUACUUAUGUUUCAAAGUUUAGUUGUAAUCUUGGAUGAUCAGUUGAAUGGAAUUAUCUUAGUUAGCUCAUUUGAAUUUGAUUUCUUGUUAUAAAUGGAUUAAUUAUCUUUGUCAUCAGAUUGUAUAUGUAUUGGGAUUUAUGAAUGUUUUGUGGGUUCAGAUUCUUCUGUGUAUUUGGAUAUCAAUGGUUGAGAUCAAGUGGUGGAGUUCAAGUUAGUCUGGGUAUCGAAGGAUUGUGAAGUUGUCAGAUUCUAGCAUAUUUCAAGUCGGGAAGAGUGGAAACUUGUAGCAAGAAGACCUUGUGCUAAGGUUCAGGUGACUAUCUCACCUCUACUUACUUAUGGUUAUGCAUUUCAUGGAGGUUAGCUAGUAGUGGGGCUGUGUGCUGUGAGAGGACUAGUAGGCGGUAGUGAGCUAUAUGAUUGCUAUUUGCCUGUAUUAUGUGCCUACUUGAUCCUGAUUGUUUAUAUGUCGACAUAUGGUAGUAGUAGGUUAAGGCAGUCCUGCUUUAUGCUGUAGGCCAAGAUACCCUAUGCAGGCCGGCUAUAAGCCGUAUGCACGGAGGCUCGGGAAGAGCGUUUGGGUUGAGGUAGUAGGCCAACAAACCCUAGGUAUUCCAGCCCGAAGGCUGAGUGGAGCCGACACAUGCUUGUAUGUUUAAUGUAUGGGGUAUUUUAGGGGAAACUCACUAAACUUUGUGCUUACUUAAUUGUUUAUUGUUUCAGGUAUGAUUGGUUGUAAUGUGAAGGCAAAUGUGUGACUGUACACAUUCAUCAACAACAAUGAAGAUUCCACACUUUAAUAUUACUUCGAUUUUAAUAAAAGUAUUUGGAUUAAACGGUUUUCUUUAAAAUGAAUUUAUAAAUGGUAAGCUCUACUUAAAUAAAAUGAAAAUUUUUGGUUGUGAAAAUGAGACGUUACACCCCGCCCCCAAUUGAUUUUGGGAUUUUUUAUUGGAUGAAAAGAAGUUGUUUGUUGGCUUAAAGAAGCUAUUUUUUAUAUAGUUAUUUAUAACUUAAUUUUAUAUAUUAAAAACAAAAUGUUAUCACAUCUCAAAAAUGUUAUAUUAACAACAUAAAAACAUGAUUUUUUUUUUUGAAUUUUGGAAACUCAAAAUCAUUGAUAUUAUUUAUUGUAUUUAUAUAAAUAAUAUAUAUAAUAUAUCUAAUAUAUUAACAAGGUCCACAUGGGGGUUUCAAGAUUGGCCUGACCACCCCCAUCCUCGCCCCCAAAAUUAAAAUGGGAGUUAACCUUACCCCACCCCAUCCCGAUUUUUUUGACAAAUAUUCCCCAUAUGGGAUCGGAGCCCCACGAUUUAGAGGUCCCACAAAACUUUUUGACAUGUCCACCUCACAACUUUGCCGAAAACGACCAUAUCAUUUCACAUCGAACUUAAUUGUAAUGUUUUUGAGUUAUUUUUUGUUUUUAGACAUAACAUUCGUUUUUGAAUUAUACAAUCUCAUAUUAGCUUAUGUAUAACUUGACAUCUGUUUCGAAUUCCGAUUAGCCUAUCUAUAUUAAUCAUUUCAUGUUUAACAAACAUUUUUGUACCGAUUUUACAAAAAAUGUUUUUAAAAAACUUUAUAAAAAUAAUAAUUAUACAACCUUUUAUGUGUUAUGUAGUUAAAUAUACGAAUUAAAAAAAAUUAUGUAACCUUAUCCAUAUUUAAAGUACAAAAAAAACAUAAUUAUAAGUGAAUUAAGCUAUGAAUUAUAAUUAUAAUGACCAUGAAAUCUACAAGUAUAAAUAAACAAAAUUUAAAAAAACAUAAAAAAAAUGUAUUCAAAGAAAUCAAAAAGAGUUAAAAAAAAUAUUCGAAGAAAACAUCAAAAAUAAAAUUCAAUAAAUCUAUUUGAACAAAACGCUAAAAAAAAAAAUUUUAAAAAUUAUUCGAACAAAAUAUAAAAUAACAUAAGCAAAAAAAUAUAAAAAAAUUAUAUUAAACAAAAUAAUCGAUCAAAACGUCAAAAAAAAUCUAAAUUAUAAAAUAUAGUAUAGAUAAAUUAAAUAAAAAUAAUAAACAAAAUUACAUAAAUAGUCUUUAGACAAGAAGAGCAAAUACAACAUUUCACAUAAGACUUAAUUGAAAAACUUAACAAUUUAAAAAAAAAAAAAAAAACCGUUUUUUUAUUAUUUUAAAAAAAANUUAAAAUAACAUAGAUCAUUUAUGCUAAACAUUCAUUAGAAAGAUUGAAGUUGGUCAAUUUUGUUAACACUAUUUAUAUAAUUUUGUUUAAAAAGAAUGGUAUGAGUAACAUUUAAUUCAAAAUUCAAAAUAAAUGGAUAAAAUAAUGAUAUUCUGCGACUUUUUUCUCUUGCAAAACAUAGAUGCUUUGAUUUCAAAUUGUGAAAGCAAUUUUUUUAGACUCACAUGUAUGGUAUAUAAUUUUAGACUAAAAUGAUAACAUUGGAUCAGGUUAAGAUCAUAGUAUCGUAAUCGUUAGUCGGAUUCUAAGAUUAUGAUAUAAAUCUUGAUUGACGCAUAUAAAAAAAAAAAAAAAAAAAAAAAAAAAAAAAAAAAAAAAAAGAAAUCCUAUGAUUUGAAGAGGAUGGGAUCUAAUAUGAAACCAAAAGAAAAUAUAUAUAAUUAUUGGAACUUGAAUGAAUGCACCCACCUUAGUUGAUGACGAAAACAAGACACGAGUCAAAGUGACACCUAUCCAUUCUUUCUUCGUGUCAGCCGACUUUUCUCUCUCACCGGAUCUGUCCAAACUACAUGACGAACGCAGUGACACCAUCCUCCCUCACCGUCGAUGGGCCCAACCACCUACGCGUCACCUCCUCAUUCGCACAAUCCACCCCUCGCACACUUUUUGUUGUUUUACAGUUUGCACAGAAAGCGAGAGAAAAUUCAGGGCUGCGGUCAAUACUCAGUUUCUCAAUACCCCAGGAACAACCUCGAAUCAAAGCCUUCUUAUCCAAGCAACUCUCUCUCUCUCUCUCUCUCUCUCUCUCUCUCUCUCUCUCUCUCUCUCAUGCUCGUUCCACGAAGCCACGUUUUCAACUUGUUCCAGAUUCAAUCCUCCACGUGCUCCCCUCGGUGUUUAUAUAUAUCUCUCUCGGUUGUUAAUCAUAUAGCUGCUGAAGAAGAAGAACAAGAACGAGAACCAGAAGCAGUAGAUUUGAAGAAAAAAGGAAGACCAAUUGAGGUUUAGAAGAAGUAAUUACUGUUUACUGAUAAAUCAUUGUGUGAAAGAUCUCGUGUGAGAAUGACCUGCGAUAAUUUGGAGUUGC